rnacentral:tRNA from 1 species
CACCCCAUCGUCUAGUCAGGUCAGGACACCGGGUUUUCAUCCCGGCAACACGGGUUCGAAUCCCGUUGGGGUGACCC